rnacentral:lncRNA from 1 species
AAAAUUAAAUUUAAUUCACGAUGUAAACUGAAAUUUUAUUUUUAAUUAAAAAUUCAUAAUUUUAAAUUUAAAUAGUAUAAUUAAAUUUUAACUUUGAAUUUAAGAUGAAAUAAAAAUUACAAUUAAGUAAGAUUAAAAUUUGAAUAUAUAUUUGAAAUUAUAAAAUAUAUAAUUAAGUGGAAUAUGAGUAGAAAAUUCAAAUUAGGGUGAUAGACUACAAAAUAUUAUUGCCUAUAUGUGAUAUUAUUGCCUUCUAUAUGGUGAGUACAUUGUGUGCAACUGUCCAACACCUUGGUUAGUGUAUUGUGGGACUCCUAGUCAGUCGACUCAAGGUUGACCGGAUUUCGAAUGUCGACCUGUAAAGUCGAUGUUUCGACGGUUUUGGUUGUGAACUUUUGGUUCAGUAAAGAUGUAUCAAGCGGUUUGGUACUUCGAUGUGUUGCGCUUCCAACUUGUCAUUGGUAGUGGAUCUUCGAGUAUUUCGCUUUUUUUUUUUUUUAUAAGUAUAUUGGCUGUAGACAAUGUACUGUCGAAAGUUGGGACGAAAUUGUCACGACCCGCGACCACCCGCCUAUUUGGCCGAGGUCGCGGCGCCGCCAACAGACUGCCGAACGGACAAAGUUUCCCCUGUACGUUCUAGGCGUCGCAAUCAAUACAAUACAAAGGUUCCAACCAGGAACAAUAUUCAACAUACAGAUUGCAUAAGGAAGUAUAAAAAACAUAACACAU